UGGCUAUGAUGUCUUUCUUUAUCUGAACAACCAUGUGGUUUCAAAUGAGCUUUUUAACCCUGAGCCUA